GUUGUUCGGAAUUACUGGGCGUAAAGGGUGCGCAGGCGGUCUCGUAAGCUGGGUGUGAAAGCCCCGGGCUUAACCUGGGAAUGGCAUUCAGGACUGCGAGGCUUUGAGUGUGGCAGAGGGAGGUGGAAUUCCACGUGUAGCAGUGAAGUGCGUAGAGAUGUGGAGGAACACCGAUGGCGAAGGCAGCCUCCUGGGCCAGCACUGACGCUCAUGCACGAAAGCGUGGGGAGCAAACAGG
rnacentral:rRNA from 1 species